rnacentral:rRNA from 1 species
AUUGAACGCUGGCGGCAGGCCUAACACAUGCAAGUCGAACGAGUGGCGGACGGGUGAGUAAUGUCUGGGAAACUGCCUGAUGGAGGGGGAUAACUACUGGAAACGGUAGCUAAUACCGCAUACCAUCAGAUGUGCCCAGAUGGGAUUAGCUAGUCGGUGGGGUAACGUCUCACCUAGGCGACGAUCCCUAGCUGGUCUUAGAGGAUGAACAGCCACACUGGAACUGAGACACGGUCCAGACUCCUACGGGAGGCAGCAGUGGGGAAUAUUGCACAAUGGGCGCAAGCCUGAUGCAGCCAUGCCUCGUGUAUGAAGAAGGCCUUCGGGUUGUAAAGUACUUUCAGCCGGGAGGCGUUACCCGCAGAAGAAGCACCGGCUAACUCCGUGCCAGCAGCCGCGGUAAUUC